GACGAGCGCUGGCGGCGUGCUUAACACAUGCAAGUCGAACGGAAAGGCCCUGCUUGUGUGGGGUGCUCGAGUGGCGAACGGGUGAGUAACACGUGAGUAACCUGCCCUUGACUUUGGGAUAACUUCAGGAAACUGGGGCUAAUACCGGAUAGGAGCUCCUGCUGCAUGGUGGGGGUUGGAAAGUUUCGGCGGUUGGGGAUGGACUCGCGGCUUAUCAGCUUGUUGGUGGGGUAGUGGCUUACCAAGGCUUUGACGGGUAGCCGGCCUGAGAGGGUGACCGGCCACAUUGGGACUGAGAUACGGCCCAGACUCCUACGGGAGGCAGCAGUGGGGAAUAUUGCACAAUGGGCGGACGCCUGAUGCAGCAACGCCGCGUGCGGGAUGACGGCCUUCGGGUUGUAAACCGCUUUCGCCUGUGACGAAGCGUGAGUGACGGUAAUGGGUAAAGAAGCACCGGCUAACUACGUG
rnacentral:rRNA from 1 species